rnacentral:rRNA from 1 species
GACGAACGCUGGCGGCGUGCUUAACACAUGCAAGUCGAACGGAAAGGCCCUGCUUUUGUGGGGUGCUCGAGUGGCGAACGGGUGAGUAACACGUGAGUAACCUGUCCUUGACUUUGGGAUAACUUCAGGAAACUGGGGCUAAUAUCGGAUAGGAGCUCUUGCUGCAUGUGGGGGGUUGGAAAGUUUCGGCGGUUGGGGAUGGAUUCGCGGCUUAUCAGCUGGUUGGUGGGGUAGUGGCUUACCACGGCUUUGACGGGUAGCCCGCAUGAGAGGGUGAACGGCCUCAUUGGGACUGCGAUACGGCCCAGUAUCCUACCGGAGGCAGCAGUGGGAAACAUUGCACAGUGGGCGGAAGCCUGAUGCAGAAACGCCGCGUGCGGGAUGCCGGCCUUCGGGUUGUAAACCGCUUUCGACUGAGCCGAAGAGUGAGUGACGGUAAUUGGUCAAGAAGCACCGGCUAACUACGUG